GAAAUGAAUGGAAAAAUUAGAGCUGCUAACUCUAAAUGAAGCGGUUAAAUUCCGUUAGCAUUU
rnacentral:tRNA from 1 species